rnacentral:rRNA from 1 species
GACGAACGCUGGCGGCGUGCUUAACACAUGCAAGUCGAACGGAAAGGCCCUGCUUUUGUGGGGUGCUCGAGUGGCGAACGGGUGAGUAACACGUGAGUAACCUGCCCUUGACUUUGGGAUAACUUCAGGAAACUGGGGCUAAUACCGGAUAGGAGCUCCUGCUGCAUGGUGGGGGUUGGAAAGUUUCGGCGGUUGGGGAUGGACUCGCGGCUUAUCAGCUUGUUGGUGGGGUAGUGGCUUACCAAGGCUUUGACGGGUAGCCGGCCUGAGAGGGUGACCGGCCACAUUGGGACUGAGAUACGGCCCAGACUCCUACGGGAGGCAGCAGUGGGGAAUAUUGCACAAUGGGCGGAAGCCUGAUGCAGCAACGCCGCGUGCGGGAUGACGGCCUUCGGGUUGUAAACCGCUUUCGCCUGUGACGAAGCGUGAGUGACGGUAAUGGGUAAAGAAGCACCGGCUAACUACGUGCCAGCAGCCGCGGUGAUACGUAGGGUGCGAGCGUUGUCCGGAUUUAUUGGGCGUAAAGGGCUCGUAGGUGGUUGAUCGCGUCGGAAGUGUAAUCUUGGGGCUUAACCCUGAGCGUGCUUUCGAUACGGGUUGACUUGAGGAAGGUAGGGGAGAAUGGAAUUCCUGGUGGAGCGGUGGAAUGCGCAGAUAUCAGGAGGAACACCAGUGGCGAAGGCGGUUCUCUGGGCCUUUCCUGACGCUGAGGAGCGAAAGCGUGGGGAGCGAACAGGCUUAGAUACCCUGGUAGUCCACGCUGUAAACGGUGGGUACUAGGUGUGGGGUCCAUUCCACGGGUUCCGUGCCGUAGCUAACGCUUUAAGUACCCCGCCUGGGGAGUACGGCCGCAAGGCUGAAACUCAAAGGAAUUGACGGGGCCCCGCACAAGCGGCGGAGCAUGCGGAUUAAUUCGAUGCAACGCGUAGAACCUUACCUGGGUUUGACAUGGAUCGGGAGUGCUCAGAGAUGGGUGUGCCUCUUUUGGGGUCGGUUCACAGGUGGUGCAUGCCUGUCGUCAGCUCGUGUCGUGAGAUGUUGGGUUAAGUCCCGCAACGAGCGCAACCCUUGUUCACUGUUGCCAGCACGUUAUGGUGGGGACUCAGUGGAGACCGCCGGGGUCAACUCGGAGGAAGGUGGGGAUGACGUCAAGUCAUCAUGCCCCUUAUGUCCAGGGCUUCACGCAUGCUACAAUGGCUGGUACAGAGAGUGGCGAGCCUGUGAGGGUGAGCGAAUCUCGGAAAGCCGGUCUCAGUUCGGAUUGGGGUCUGCAACUCGACCUCAUGAAGUCGGAGUCGCUAGUAAUCGCAGAUCAGCAACGCUGCGGUGAAUACGUUCCCGGG